AGUGAACGCUGGCGGUAGGCCUAACACAUGCAAGUCGAACGGCAGCACAGUAAGAGCUUGCUCUUACGGGUGGCGAGUGGCGGACGGGUGAGGAAUACAUCCGAAUCUACUUUUUCGUGGGGGAUAACGUAGGGAAACUUACGCUAAUACCGCAUACGACCUACGGGUGAAAGCAGGGGAUCUUCGGACCUUGCGCGAUUGAAUGAGCCGAUGUCGGAUUAGCUAGUUGGCGGGGUAAAGGCCCACCAAGGCGACGAUCCGUAGCUGGUCUGAGAGGAUGAUCAGCGACAGUGGAACUGAGACACGGCCCAGACUCCUACGGGAGGCAGCAGUGGGGAAUAUUGGACAAUGGGCGCAAGCCUGAUCCAGCCAUACCGCGUGGGUGAAGAAGGCCUUCGGGUUGUAAAGCCCUUUUGUUGGGAAAGAAAAGCAGCAGGUUAAUACCCCGCUGUUCUGACGGUACCCAAAGAAUAAGCACCGGCUAACUUCGUG
rnacentral:rRNA from 1 species